rnacentral:rRNA from 1 species
CAGCCGCCGCGGUAAUACGUAGGGAGCAAGCGUUGUUCGGAAUUACUGGGCGUAAAGCGUGCGUAGGCGGUGAGUUAAGUCUGCUGUGAAAUCCCCGGGCUCAACCUGGGAAUGGCAGUGGAUACUGGCUCGCUAGAGUGUGUCAGAGGAUGGUGGAAUUCCCGGUGUAGCGGUGAAAUGCGUAGAGAUCGGAAGGAACAUCUGUGGCGAAGGCGACUAUCUGGGCCAACACUGACACUGAGGCACGAAAGCGUGGGGAGCAAACAGGAUUAGAUACCCGCGUAGUCCCUGUCUCUUAUAC